rnacentral:hammerhead_ribozyme from 1 species
AUUCAACUGAUGAGUCCCGAAUAGGAUGAAAUGCACGUCCUAAAU